AUUGAACGCUGGCGGCAUGCCUUACACAUGCAAGUCGAACGGCAGCAUGGGGCAACCUGGUGGCGAGUGGCGAACGGGUGAGUAAUGCAUCGGAACGUACCUUUCAGUGGGGGAUAACGUAGCGAAAGUUACGCUAAUACCGCAUAUUCUGUGAGCAGGAAAGCAGGGGAUCGCAAGACCUUGCGCUGAUUGAGCGGCGGGUGUCAGAUUAGCUAGUUGGUGAGGUAAAGGCUCACCAAGGCGACGAUCUGUAGCGGGUCUGAGGGGAUGUUCCGCCACACUGGAAAUGAGACACGGUCCAGACUCCUACGGGAGGCAGAAGUGGGGAAUUUUGGACAAUGGGGGCAACCCUGAUCCAGCCAUGCCGCGUGAGUGAAGAAGGCCUUCGGGUUGUAAAGCUCUUUCGGCCGGGAAGAAAUCGCACGGGCUAAUACCCUGUGUGGAUGACGGUACCGGAAUAAGAAGCACCGGCUAACUACGUGCCAGCAGCCGCCGUAAAAC
rnacentral:rRNA from 1 species